rnacentral:RNase_P_RNA from 1 species
GGAGUCAGCCAGACCAUCGCGGUGCGCGAGCAUCGAGGAAAGUCCGGACUUCAUAGGGCAGAAUGCCAGGUAACGCCUGGGCGGUGCGAGCCGACGGACAGUGCAACAGAGAACAGACAGCCGAACGGCGCGCAAGCGUGCGUGGUGAUGGUGAAACGGUGCGGUAAGAGCGCACCGCUUGCGGGGCUAACGCCGCAAGGCACGGCAAACCCCAUUCGAAGCAAGAUCAAAUAGGGGAACGAUACGGCGGCCCGUCGUGUUCCCGGGUAGAUCGCUUGAGGCGGCCAGCGAUGGUUGUCCCAGACGAAUGAUGGUUCUCGACAGAAUCCGGCUUAUCGGCUGGCUACGCAC